rnacentral:misc_RNA from 1 species
UCCGGUUUAUCACCGGCGGUCUCCUUAGAGUCCCCACCAUAACGUGUUGGUAACUAAGGACAAGGGUUGCGCUCGUUACGGGACUUAACCCAACAUCUCACAACACGAGCUGACGACAGCCAUGCAGCACCUGUCACUGGAUUCCCGAAGGCACUCCCGCUAUUACGCAGGAUUCCCAGGAUGUCAAGAGUAGGUAAGGUUUUUCGCGUAGCAUCGAAUUAAACCACAUGCUCCACCGCUUGUGCGGGCCCCCGUCAAUUCCUUUGAGUUUUAAUCUUGCGACCGUACUCCCCAGGCGGAGAACUUAACGCGUUAGCUGCGACACUAAGCAGUCUUAGCUGCCCAACAUCUAGUUCUCAUCGUUUACGGCGUGGACUAC